GCGCCAGACUCCUACGGGAGGCAGCAGUGGGGGAUAUUGCACAAUGGGGGGAACCCUGAUGCGGCGACGCCGCGUGGGUGAAGGAGUGCUUCGGCAUGUAAAGCCCUAUCGGCAGGGAAGAAGCAAGACGGUACCUGACUAAGAAGCCCCAGCUAACUACGUGCCAGCAGCCGCGGUAAUACGUAGGUGGCAAGCGUUGUCCGGAUUUACUGGGUGGAAGGGGGCGCAGACGGCAGCGCAAGCCAGGAGUGAAAGCCCGGGGCCCAACCCCGGGACUGCUCUUGGAACUGCGCGGCUGGAGUGCAGGAGGGGCAGGCGGAAUUCCUGGUGUAGCGGUGAAAUGCGUAGAUAUCAGGAGGAACACCGGUGGCGAAGGCGGCCUGCUGGACUGCGACUGACGUUGAGGCCCGAAAGCGUGGGGAGCAAACAGGAUUAGAUACCCGGGUAAU
rnacentral:rRNA from 1 species